GACGAACCGAGCGAACGUUAUUCGGAAUCACUGGGCUUAAAGGGCGCGUAGGCGGGUCAGCAAGUCAGGGGUGAAAUCCCACGGCUCAACCGUGGAAGUGCCUUUGAUACUGUUGAUCUCGAGGGAGGUAGGGGCGUGCGGAACUUCCGGUGGAGCGGUGAAAUGCGUAGAUAUCGGAAGGAACGCCGGUGGCGAAAGCGAUGUGCUGGACCCUUUCUGACGCUGAGGCGCGAAAGCCAGGGGAGCAAACGGG
rnacentral:rRNA from 1 species